UAUGUUUUUGUUAUAGGGAUAGUUUUUUGAAGCUUGUAUGACAACUUUUUAUGCAUUUUAUGGUAUAGUACAUAAAGAAGACAAAAAUUCAACAAAAUAAACAGAUUGUAGUAAAACUAACCAUGAUUCAAAUAGCUAUUACACAAAGGCACAAGAAAAACACAAAUAUAUAAUGAGUUUAUUAAGUAGACAAAAAAAAUAAUAAUUUGAAUAAAAAAAAAAAAAAUAGUGAACAGGAAAAAAAACACAUCUUGCCGCAAACAGGGUAUAGUUACUAGAAGUACUAUAAAAAUACAAUAAUGAAAAAACUACCAUUGUAACUUAUUAUUUUCUAUUACUUACAUAAAUAACAACAAGAAUAUAAGAAUAUUUUGAUACUAAAAGGGGUUUGAAAGUACAGUAUAGGUUGCACUUUGUAAAUCACGUGUGAUUUGCAAGUCACGCCUCUUUUGGGGAGAAAUUGAAUGUGCAUUAAAAUACUGCUACUGUUUACAUAGUUGUUGCCAUGGAUGCAAAGUAAUUUUUUUUUAAUUAAGACUUGAUUGGAGAAUUAAAUGGAUAUAAAUAAAAAUGUCUAUUUAUUUAACUUAUUUUUCAGGAGGACUGGAAGACAUUUGGGUGUUGAGUCAAAUUUAAUGGAAAAAAUUCAGUGCGAACCUGCAAUGUUUAUAAAUGGAGGGCAGUAAAACUUGAAAAUAUGCCGCACAGCUAUAUGUUUUUAUUAGUGCAAAAAAAAGUAGUGCAUGUCUCCUUUCCAGGGAAAUAUAACAUUCUCCUCAAAACUUCCUGAAUGAAGAGUGACUGCAUAUGCAAUUUAGGCAGUUCCUAUGGAAAACUGCAUUGCUGGUUUUACACAAGUGCAA
rnacentral:lncRNA from 1 species